UCCAUGCUCCUUAGAUCCACUCUCGAGUUAACUGGCCCUAUGCACAGAUUCAGGUGGACGGCCUACUUACCAGCAACUUUGCCGGUUGCAUGUCGAAAGUGCUUGAGUCAUAAACAUGGCAGAAAUGUACCUCAGUCAAUGAACUCUGUUUUAAUCAUUGUUGGUGAUUUAGCUCUUUCAUGGACUUGGACAAU